AUGGCGGCCGCGCCCGGCUAUGAGGUUCCGACGCCUUUGGCCGCCCCUGUUCUUCCCUCCAUGGCGGCCGCAGGCUGGUCCUCCCUCCCGAGCGACCUCGUCCUCUGCAUCGCCGACUGCCUCCUCGACACCAACGACGUCGACUGCUAUGUGGACCUCCGCGCCGUCUGCCACAACUGGCGCUCCGCCACCGAGGACCCGAGGAGCGACGCCUCCGACCCCCGCUUCCACCCUCGCUUCUGGAUAGUCCUCGACGACGACGGCGCCUUCCAGAGCGACGGCUGCCGGGUCUUGGUCAACACGGCCACCAGCCGGUUCCUCCGCAAGCAGCUCCCGCUGCCCCGCCACUACUACGUGGUCACCACCACUGUCAACGGCUUCUUGGUCCUGGACGACAGGAGUCCACCUCACGCCGCUCGCCUCCUCAACCCUCUCACAGGCGCCGUGGUCAUUUUCAACGCGCCGGUGCCGCGGGACGCGUCCGUUGCCGUUUUCUUCUCCUCUGGCGGCACUCCGCACAAUCUCAUCGUGCUCUGCGACUCAACUCGCAAGUAUUACAGGGCUGUUCCGGACAGUGAAUGUUUCAUCGCCGGGGACAUCAAUCAUGUCUUUUACAAUUAUAUGAGGAAGGUGGUGGUCGGCAGCGUCUACUCCAAUGGUGCUGGCUGCGUAUCCGUGGCGCAGUCUAAUGUCAUCAUGGAGUAUUUGCUCGAUUUGUCGGAGAAGCUUCAGACUGAUUUCGUCAAGUUUUUCUCUGUCGACCCUCUUGGACAUCACAACGACGUCCGUUGUUUCCUAUUGCAUUUUGGUGGGGAAGUCUUUUUCAUCACAAUGGCAUUAGAACGCGUUGUUGCGGUCCUCAUCGUGGAUCCAACGGAGAAACAGGCGCUCACGCCUGUGAAGACCGUGGGCAGAUACGCCAUCUUCAUCAGCCAUCAAAGGUGCCUGGUUGUUGAUGCCGCUAAGUUCCCAUCCGUCGAGGCAGACUGUGUCUACUACACCCAAGACGUUGGUAAAUUUGCUUUCAUCUGGAAGCACAACAUCAGAGAUGGGAAAGACGAGAGGGUGUAUGAUGACAUCAAUUUCGUCAAGGAGGACAAGCAUUUUGUCUCCUCCGGCCCCCUUCCUUUCACCAUCAUCCAGCUUCUCUCGAGCUACACCAUCAACCUCAGCGAUUCUUAA
rnacentral:rRNA from 1 species